UCCACUUUGGUUCAGUGGCUGAAUCGACCGCCUUCAAAAAAAUUGCGGAAGCGGCAGGUCGGGGAUUCGAAACCUCCUGAUGGCA